ACGGGCUCUUCGGAGCUAGUGGCGGACGGGUGAGUAACGCGUGAGAAUCUGGCUUCAGGUUCGGGACAACAGUUGGAAACGGCUGCUAAUACCGGAUGUGCCUAAGGGUGAAAGAUUUAUCACCUGAAGAUGAGCUCGCGUCUGAUUAGCUAGUAGGUGUGGUAAGAGCGCACCUAGGCGACGAUCAGUAGCUGGUCUGAGAGGAUGAUCAGCCACACUGGGACUGAGACACGGCCCAGACUCCUACGGGAGGCAGCAGUGGGGAAUUUUCCGCAAUGGGCGAAAGCCUGACGGAGCAAUACCGCGUGAGGGAGGAAGGCUCUUGGGUUGUAAACCUCUUUUCUCAGGGAAGAAUGAUGACGGUACCUGAGGAAUAAGCAUCGGCUAACUCCGUGCCAGCAGCCGCGGUAAUACGGAGGAUGCAAGCGUUAUCCGGAAUGAUUGGGCGUAAAGCGUCCGCAGGUGGCAAUGUAAGUCUGCUGUCAAAGCGUCUGGCUCAACCAGAUAAAGGCAGUGGAAACUACAUAGCUAGAGUAAGGUAGGGGUAGAGGGAAUUCCUGGUGUAGCGGUGAAAUGCGUAGAGAUCAGGAAGAACACCGGUGGCGAAAGCGCUCUGCUGGACCUUAACUGACACUGAGGGACGAAAGCUAGGGGAGCGAAUGGGAUUAGAUACCCCAGUAGUCCUAGCCGUAAACGAUGGAUACUAGGCGU
rnacentral:rRNA from 1 species